rnacentral:rRNA from 1 species
UACGUAGGGUGCGAGCGUUAAUCGGAAUUACUGGGCGUAAAGCGUGCGCAGGCGGCUUGCCAAGUCAGAUGUGAAAGCCCCGGGCUUAACCUGGAAUGGCGUUUGAAACUGGCAGGCUAGAGUUUGGCAGAGGGGGGUGGAAUUCCACGUGUAGCAGUGAAAUGCGUAGAGAUGUGGAGGAACACCGAUGGCGAAGGCAGCCCCCUGGGCCAAAACUGACGCUCAGGCACGAAAGCGUGGGGAGCAAACAGG